GGGAAGGUGGUUCAGUGGUAGAGUGCUUGCCUUACAUGCAUGAGACCCUGAGUUCUAUUCUUCAGCACUACCU
rfam:Dipodomys ordii contig_33051, whole genome shotgun sequence.